rnacentral:misc_RNA from 1 species
UCAACCUCUCAAGCUUGGCUUGUCGUUGGACCUUGCAGCUGCCGAUAAUCGGCGGGGGGCAGGUCUUUAACCUAGUGGCGGAGUUCGGAUUGGACCCCGGAUACAACGAGCUCUCUCCAGCAUGUAUCAAGGUGGCCCACCGACCUAGCCUCGUCAAAAAGUCUUAACCCAU